CUGUUGGCAGCACCGGGCAGGUGGGAUGUUCCAGCUACAGGGAAAAGAAACCUCCCCCCAGUUUUCCAGAGUUGAAAUUUUCUCCUUUAGCCAAACAUAUCACAUAAACAACAACAAUAACAAAAUCAUGAGGUUUGAUUCCUGGUUUGUAACCACCUUAAAAGAAGACUGGAACUCAUGAUCCUCUCUACUUGCAAACAAUCCCAUAAAGCUGAAGUUGAGACUUCAAAGUGAUUACUAAAGAAUGUUAAUCUGGCUGCAUUUCUCACUCAUUUUUAAUUAAACUAACGUUCCUCUCACAGCUUUUUGAAAGCUACAGCUGUCAGUAUACAUGUACGUACACGUGUGCAUCUACAUACGAUAGAAUUUGCCAAUUUUAAAUGUGCCGAAAACAAUAACUGAGAUAUAAAGAGGGAAGGAAUUCUCAAAACUCACUUCUCAGAAUUAAUAACAAUGUCAAGUAACAUUUUUUUAAAAAACGAGACAGUAGCUACAGUAUAUUGGCAAAUUCAGGCUUGGCCGAGUAGAAUGGUUAAGAAUAGAGACUACGACACCAAACUGCCUGUGAUCACAUGCCAGCUCUGCCAUUUAGGAGCUCUGUGACCUUGAACAAGCCUUUUACCUGUGUCCUCAUCUGUGAAAUGAGGACAACAGAGGACCUACCUCAGGUGGUGUGGAGUAACCAUGGACUUGUCAAGUGGAGAGUCGCCUUAAGAUAGUGUGUUAGCUCUGCUGUCAUGCAGAGUAUGGUGUGCUUGGGAAGAGAGACAUAGGGGCUCCAGCUGAGAAGACAAACAUGAGAUCACCUUCAUGAAAUGGUUUAGCAGAUAGCCUAAUGACUCGUGCUAUACCAUGCCUCCUCUUCUGCAAUGCUGCAUGGCCUCACUCCAGAGAGAUGCAACCGUGACCUUGGUUGGCCUUGACUUGCUGACCAAGGAAAUGAAGCAGAAGUGAUGCUCUGGGAAUUCUUAGUUUAGCCCCUAAGAGUUCUCAGCUUUGGCCUUUGUACACUCAGAACACUCACUCUUAGGCUCUAACCACCAUGAAGAGAAGCUCAAGGGAGCUGCACAGAGAAAGAAAGGGAGUUGGGGUGGUCCCAGGCUUCUAGCCAUACCUUCUAGGAGCCAUAGACCCAUCUCCUAUCUGUCCACAAUCUCAUGAGAGAUCCCAGGCGAUUCCCCUAAGGAGUGGAGUCAGCCCAAAAAGUUCCUGAUCCACAGAAUCAUGAACAAAUAAAAUGAUGCUGUUUUAAGCCACUAAGUUUUAGUGGACGUUCAUUACACGGCGAUUGACAUCCAAAGCAACACUCUGAGCCGAAUGUCAAAUAAAUAAUAAACUGCAACUCUGACAACCUCAGGGCAACAGCACUGGCCCACAAUCAACAUGUGUUAAGUUGUCCUUUACCCUUGAUUAUUUAUUACCACAUCUCAUUUCAAGCCUAUGUCACACUUAACUGAUUAGUGGUCAAGCUUUUCAAACAGUGGUUCUCAGAAAAUGUAAUCCUCUGACUCUACCUUGCAAAAGCCUAUGAAAAUGUGGUGUGUGGAUUAAAAUUCCCUGGAGUUCAGUCUAAAUUUUUCUAUUGGUACUUUUUAGACAAAUAUCUGAAGAAAUAUAUGUUUCAUUCGUUGGAUCUGUAGGGUGUUUGAUGAUUCUUUACAGUUUGCUUUUGUAGCUGUAUUAUGAAGUGUCUUGAGAUA